UGAGAUUUGAGAUCAAGUGACAAAUCAACCAGACAUGCGAUUUAAAAUCCAUCCUCACACACAAAGCUUCCACAAACUUAUAGCAUCACAACACAAAAAAAGUCAACAACCCCUCAGGCUUUAACCUACUGAGAGCAUUUCUCCAAGUAUGCUUUCCAGCCUUCAAGUCGAUACUCGUGAGCCGUCUCUGCUGGGUUUUCAGCCUUUAUGAUUCCCCUUCCCACGAUUAUAAUAUCACUCCCCCUCUCAGUAAUCACCUGAAACAAGACAACAAGAGCAACCUCACUUUAUAUUCCCGAGAUCACCACCUAAACUACUAACAAAGGUUGGGGGAGGGAAGAGACUCACAGAGUGUGGAGUGUUGUAUUGUUGGCCAAGGGCAUCACCACCUUUCACCAUCUGAACACCAGGCGUUGCAUGAAUCAUAGACGGAUACACAUACCCGCAUUUCCAAGACGCUGGAUUAACGGAGAUGAAUCCCAUCACGAAAUCCGAAUGAGCCUCUGCGAUCUUCACGGCUGCUGCAGUGUAGUCUCCUGUAGCAAGGUUACCAGCAGAGCUCAUCUCAGCUAGCAAAAGCAGAAUACGUUUAUUAUUCUUUAUUCUUUUUCAAACAGAGAAAAACGAAUUACAUUUGAUUUCGAUUAACACAUACGACAUGCUGUAAAAACUCUUCAUCAGCCAAUAAUUUCUCCAAAACGUGAGACCAUAAAGACGUAUGAAUCUCCAUGCUUCCUUCAUCAGUUCCCGGGUAAACAAGGAUUUUACCAUGGCCAGCAAUUCCCGGUCCAGCUCUAACCGCAAUCGGUUUACCCCAACCAAAAUCGUUUCCAAACACAUUGAACCGUGGAGAGCUAGCAACAACGAGCGAAUUAUUCACCAUUAAACCAUUCGGUAUUUUAGGGUUCUUCACCCAGUUUUCAGCAAAACGUUUGAAUUCUUCAUUCGUUUGUGACCUCACAGUUCUGUUUAGUUGCAAAGCAGCCCAACCCAAUCCAUUGUUAAGCAUUUCUCCCGCGGUUGUGGUGGUCGUCGCCAGUCCAACCAUGUUUCCAAAACACUCUUUCUCGAGCGGAGGGUUUAGUCUCCCUCUCAUAUCCAUUGCUAACUUGCAAUGAAUCAAUUCUUCUGGAUCGAGACCACUGUUUUUGAUUAUUGAUCGCCACAUAUGCGCCAACACGACUUGAAACGAAGAGAUUUUCAGAUCCUCAUCAGACCCACCAACCUCGUCGUUAGUUUUUGCUUUGAGCUCAGAGAUGUUUCUACUCGUGAAGCGAAAUAUAUUCUUUUGAAGAUGAUUCGGCAACGACGAAGAAACAAGUGAUGAUACCGUCUCUGAGAAGGGAACUCGAAUCGGGUAAUCAAUCCCAUCGAGAAACCACCCACGGAGAGACAAAGGAGGAAACAUUUUCCGGGCAGAGCAAAUCUCUGUCCAUGUUUUGAAAAAACUCCAGAAGGAAGUUCCGUCAACAACCAUAUGGUUAACUCCAUACCCGAUGAAAACUCCAUCUUUCAACUCCGUUAUUUGGAUAGCAAGCAACGACUCUGAGACCCCUUGCCAGCUUUCAACUCCGUUUGCCGAGAAAAACUCAGUCCAGUGAUCAUUGUCCGGUUCCAAAACAUCACUCACCGACACAGCUGGAGCCGUUGCAUGCACGAAUUUGACACCUGAACCAUCGCAAUCUAUGUAAAACGACGCCGUUUCGUCAUCUUCGUUGUGGAUCUUCACGAGACGUCCAGCAAGUGGAUAGAAAAUUUUCAAAGCUACGGAGAGAGAGGACUUCAGUUGAGAGAUCACGUGGGUUUCUGGGUCGGGUUGGGGAAAGAUUAUAGCUCUUUGAGCGUAUUCGGUUCGAAGGAAAAAGAGAUCCCAAGGUGUGAGAUGGAUCUUAACCCGGUUGGAGCCAUCCUCGUCGUAGCUCUCGGGUCGAACAAUGGUCUCAGAGAUCACUACGAUAUCUGCCAUUUGUUAUUUGAUCAAGCAUUAGUUAGUGAGCAUGUAUAUCUUAUAUAUUAAAACAGAAGUCAUGACUUCUUUUCAUGUGUGAUUUUUUUUGUUUGGACCAUUCCUAGAAAAUAUCAUAUUUUAGAUAAGUUUAUUAUUAUAUCUUUUAAUAUAUUUAUCUUUUUAUUUGAAAUACAAAUGAAUAUAUUUAAAAUGUUUUAACAAAAUCUUUUUAAAAUCUUCUUGGAAUCUUUUUAAAUAUACUUUCAAAAAUUAGUUAUUUUUAAUUUAAAUUAUCAUAAAAUAUAAUUAGAAAUUAAAAUUGAAUAUAGUUUUGGUUUAUAAACGAAAAUUUAAAUAAAAUGAAAUUAAUUUCACAAAUACAUUUACUAAUAAUUUUUAAAGAUUUUGUUAGAAAUAAAUAUUUAUUUUUUAUUUUUUUCCAAAUUUGUUUUCUAAUAAAAUAAAAAUCAUGAUUUUUUGAUGAGUGAUAUUUUUAUUUGGACCAUCAUUUAAAUUUUAUAUUAAAUGUAUAUCACUAAUGCUAAUAUACAUAAUAUUUUUAACUACUUUAAUCAUAAUAUCUUUUAUAUCUUUUAAUUUUUAAAAAAAAAAAUUAAAAUUCUAACAAAUCUCUUGAAAAAGAUUAUAAUAAGAUCUUAUUUGUCAUAAAUUGAAUAUAAAUAUUUUCAACUAAUUUUGUAAUUAGUAAUGAAAUGUUACUAAAAGAAUAAAAUCAUAUCCUAUUUUAUCAAUUUUAUAAUAAUAUCUAUCAUUUUAAAAUAAAAAUGUUAUAUUGAACAAAAUAUGAUAAAAUUAUUUUAAAUUGAUAAGUUAACAUAUUUUAUUUUCAUAAAUAUAAAAUAUUUAUGCUAAAAAUAUAAUAUGUUGGUAGAACGGGUUAAUAUUAGUAAACUAUAUAAUACAUGUAUAAAAAUUUAACUUAUCUUAAACUUUUUAAUAUACAUUAAUUUCUUAUAUAAAAUUAAUAAACAUUAAAAAAUUACUAAAAAAAUCUAGCAAUUUGAAUUACGGAUCAUGAUUAUAAUAAAUUAAAUACAAAAUUGUUUUCAUAUAUGUUGUUUCAUGCAUUAAAAAAAUUAGUUUAGUAAUUAAACGCAAAUUCAAUAAGACAAAUAUAUAAUAAGCAACAUAUAUGUGAUGAUUUUAAUUUACAGCAUGAAAACUAUAAAAUUAUUAUAUUUGGCAUAAUUAUACAAAUAUUUAAAUAUGUGAGUAACAUUAAAAAUAUAUAAUAAUUAUGUAAAACAAUAUCUAUAUAUAUAAAUGUGAAAAUAUAUACCCGCACGGUUGUGCGGGUGGAAAUCUAGUUUAAAUUAAAAAUGAUUCAGUCUCACUUGGAUAUAAAACUACCACGUGGUCUAGGUGACACAUAUAGGCCCGUUUGUGUCAUUAUUGGCUCAUUAUUGCCAGUGUUAGGUCAUGUCGGUCUCCAGAGUGUCAAAAGUGGUUACAAUCAUUAAAAGAAAACAUGUUUUUUUUUUCCUAGGGAUGAAUAGGGCUCACACUCCACUAAGAGCAUCUUCAACCCCACUCUAUUUUUCGCUCUAAAAUAGAGUUUAGAGUAAAAAAAUGCUCUAAUGGUAUUUUACUUUUCACUCUAUAAUAGAGUGAAAAAUAGGUUUACUCCAAAUAUAAAGUAAUUUGUUUUUUUUUGUUCAUCGCUCUAUUUUCUAAUCUAAAAUAGAGUAUCAUUGGAGCAAACUCAAACUCUAUUAUAGAAUUACUUUAUUUUAGAGUGAAAAAUAGAGUAAACCGUUGGAGAUGGUCUAAACCCGCAACCUAAAGAAAAAACUAGCGUCCAUAAAGGGUUGCCUAAGACCAUCUCCAAUGGUUCACUCUAUUUUUUACUCUAAAAUAGAGUAACUCUAUAAUAGAGUUUGAGUUUGCUCCAAUGGUACUCUAUUUUAGAGUAGAAAAUAGAGUGAUGAACAAAAAAAAAACAAAUUACUCUAUAUUUGGAGUAAACCUAUUUUUUACUCUAUUAUAGAGUGAGAAAUAGAGUACCAUUGGAGCAUUCUUUACUCUAAACAGGGCCGUGCCUGAUACCAAGCCCAUCAAGCAUUGGCUUUGGGGCCAACAAGAGAAUAUUUAUUUUAGGGGCCAAAAAUAAAUGAAGUUUCUCUCUAGUUUUGGUGGUAAAAGCUAGAUAUAUAACAGUGAGAGGUUAUGGGUUCGAAUAACAUGGGAACACCUUCUAAUAUUUUCAUGUUUUAUUAAGAUUAUGAGCCAAAAUUUUUUUUUUUGCUUCUGGGCCCGAAAUUGUCAGGCCCGGCCCUGACUCUAAACUCUAUUUUAGAGUGAAAAAUAGAGUGGGGUUGGAGAUGCUCUAAUGUGUUUCUGUCGUGUAGUAUCUAAGUUCGUUAAUUUAUUAAAUCACUUUACUUGUGUUUUAGUAUUCGUAAUGGUGAAUGGUGAUGUUGUCAAUCAAAUUGCAUGCAGAUAGUCACUCGUCAAUCUAUUACAAUAUAAUGCCUCUUCAGUUCUUAGAGAAAGAGGCAGCAAUAGUCAUACCAGUGCCGGAGAAAUCCGAUAAACAUCUCCCUCUAUUGAUGAUAAAAAAAAAAAUCCUUGUCAACUUGUACGAUUACUGCAUCUUUAUGCCGCAUCAUGCUGUCAACGUACUUAUUAUGUCCGAACAGUAGAGUAAAGUAUACUCAUAAGUUCUCACGGACUUGAUGGGCUUCCCAGAUAAGCUGAGACUUUAAUCAUACUGAAUUUAACUAAAAUUUGAUACGUUAGUAUGACUGUAAAGGUGUUAAUCUCCGAACAAUAUUUUCCUAAGCCUUAUAUAGAGUCCAACAGUUUUAGUAUAAACUUUAUGGGGCUCAAGGUGAUGUAUCAUGUGCAGUCCAUUACUGCAGCGAAUAGAAAAUAUUAAUUGAUUCAAAUCUCUUAAAAGUUAUGUAAUCGAUGACCAGAAGGCCUUCUUUAUACAAGUCAUUAAGUCUACUUCUAUUGCUAUAAAGAAAGCUAAUACAUUUGAGAUAAGGUUCUUAAGUCGGUGUAGAAUAUCCUAAGUCGGUUACGAUAUCCCAAAAAUUAUCCCCCUCCCCCUCCCCUUCAAGUUGAAGCGUAUAUGUCAAUAACGGACCAACUUGUAGAGGAAAAUGUCAAAUUCUUUUCGUCCUAACGCCUUUGUUAGUAUGUUGUUCGUUGGAUGAAACAUGUUUCGUCGAAAUUGUUCCGUUGAUGAUGUAAACGCGAAUAAAAUGACACUCUGCUUCUACAUGUUUUGUUCUUUCGUGAAAGACGGCAUUACUAUUUGGAACCUUAAAGUUUCUCAAAUGCUGUGGGUUUUGAAUUAUAGUUUGUAUUAGAAAGUAGAGUUGGAACUACUCAUUUCAAACAAAAAGAUUUAUCUUAUUGCACAAAGUGUAACAGUGGAAGACCAAAAUUAAUCUAUGUAACAGUAAAUAAUUUAUGAUGACUACAAGAUCUCUUUGGUGUUGAGAGAAUGUUUCCUUGGCUCUUUUAUGAUGCUACUAGUGAUUUGCCCAUGCUUCACGCGGAAUCUUACUUUUUGUGUUUAUUUUGUGGUUUGAUUGCAGGUUGUAUUUUUAUGUAUGGAUCCUUUAAUUGUUAAGUAAAUAUGCUAAAUAUGUUCUAUUAGAUUUAUGGAAAUUUGUAUUUACAUGAACACAUUUCAAAACUUAAUUACAUCACAGACUUUUGGCCGAGUUCAUAACAACAAACCUUAAUAGCUUUUUUGAUGAUAUAUAAAAGACUAUCGAGUUGGUGCCACUGUUGAAUAUGCAGUUGUACAUCUCAAACUAUAAAAAUGUGGCUAUUUUUUUUACGGUUUGCACUUAGAUUAAAUUAAUAAAUACGAAAAUUACUUAUUUUUUAACUAAUUAUUAUAACGAAUUUAAGGCUUUUCGAUUGUGCCAAACUGUGUUUUGAAAAGUAUUGUGAUGACAGUCAGAGUAAAAUAUCAUUUUCAGUGUAGAACGGAGUUUGUCUUUCCUCUCUUUCUGCAGAGCCUGCACACAUUUCCCAUGCAUAUUUUCAUGUCGAAAAGGUAAAAAAUAUUCCUUCUUUAAGCAUUUGCUUUCUGAUUAGACAAUAGACAGAAUUAACACCAAAACCAACAGAGGUGAAGUAUAUUAAGUUGUCUCCUCAACGUGCCCAUUCGUCAAGGAAACCUUAAUUGGUUGAUAGGUCCUCUUGAGCAACACAGAGACAUGAUGCAAUGCAAACAGAAGAAAAUCAGUGCCAUUUGAGACAUGUUACAUGGGCAAGUAUCUAAAAAUGGAAACAGAUGUGAUAUGCUUUAAAUUUAAGUUCCUUUAUUAAACUAGAAUUUAUAUUUCUUGAUUUAGGAAAAUAUUUAGCAUUUAACUCUUUCCUUAGCGCUCUAUAUGUAGCAUGAUCAAGUUUGUGGGACUCAUCCACGCCAGAGAGAUCAUUGGAUGAGUUUCAGUUCUCUUUUGGUGUUAUAAUUCUGAUUUGCCUAAAGACAUGACUACUAAUCAAACAGAGGGAUGUCUGGGUGAAAAGUUAGAUGGUGUUCAAGCUGGUUUGAAGGAUGUUUUAGAUCGAAUUUUGAGGCAAACAGAAAUGGUUGCUGCAACUCAAGUGGGCGCAAUAUCUCAAGAAACGUCUACAGAUUUUGUUGUCAUUCCUAUAAGAAGCCAUUGUGUCAUAAAGAAGGUUGACGAACUCAAGGAUCAAGAAACGGAGUUUCCAGACUUGGAUACAGAGGGAGAAGUUGUCAUUUUCAAGCUCCAACCCCAAGUUUCUGAGAAACAACAGCAUAAACUUGAUUGUGCAAACCAACAAGUUUUGACUGAUACUCCACCUCAUCUGGAUUCGGACGAGGAUGAGGAUGACUUCAUUGUUUUUGAAGGGCGUGCUUUGGAGUGAACUCCUUGUUCCAUUUGGUCACCUUCCGAGUCCUGCAUUGAGGCGUGUUUUAGUUUUUUGUUCCUCAGGAUAUCUAUAUCUUUUAUUAGUUUACUAGAGUGCCUUGAUUUUUAUGUUUUAGUACAAGGAUGGGAUCUUGCUUAGAGAGAGAGAGAGAUCUGGAGGGAUAUUGGUAACUACGGUUGUCAUUCGUAACUUUAUUAUAUUAUUGAGAUUUGAUCAACCAGACAUGCGUUUUAAAAUCCAUCCUCACACACAAAGCUUCCACAAACUUAUAGCAUCACAACACAAAAAAAGUCAACCACCCCUCAGGCUUUGACCUACUAAGAGCAUUUCUCCAGGUAUGCUUUCCAGCCUUCAAGUCGAUACUCGUGAGCCGUCUCUGCUGGGUUUUCAGCCUUUAUGAUUCCCCUUCCCACGAUUAUAAUAUCACUCCCCCUCUCAGUAAUCAC
rnacentral:lncRNA from 1 species